rnacentral:rRNA from 1 species
CUACCUUUUUGUGGGGGAUAACGUAGGGAAACUUACGCUAAUACCGCAUACGACCUUGCACCGACAGGUGUUUGGUGAAAGCGGGGGCCCAGCGAUGGCCUCGCGCGGAUUGAUGAGCCGAUGUCCGAUUAGCUAGUUGGCGGGGUAAUGGCCCACCAAGGCGACGAUCGGUAGCUGGUCUGAGAGGAUGAUCAGCCACACUGGAACUGAGACACGGUCCAG